rnacentral:rRNA from 1 species
AUUGAACGCUGGCGGCAUGCCUUACACAUGCAAGUCGAACGGCAGCACGGGAGCAAUCCUGGUGGCGAGUGGCGAACGGGUGAGUAAUAUAUCGGAACGUGUCCAGUUGUGGGGGAUAGCCGGCGAAAGCCGGAUUAAUACCGCAUACGACCUACGGGUGAAAGCGGGGAUCGCAAGACCUCGCGCUAUUGGAGCGGCCGAUGUCAGAUUAGCUUGUUGGUGGGGAAAAGCCUACCAAGGCGACGAUCUGUAGCUGGUCUGAGAGGACGACCAGCCACACUGGGACUGAGACACGGCCCAGACUCCUACGGGAGGCAGCAGUGGGGAAUUUUGGACAAUGGGCGCAAGCCUGAUCCAGCCAUGCCGCGUGCGGGAAGAAGGCCU